GUCAAGAAUCUUCCCCAAUGGCCGCAAGGCUGAGGGAGCGACGCCGCGUGACUGAAGAAACCCUUCGGGGCGUAAAGGUCUUUUCUCGAGGAUAAACUUCGGUGAUAGUACUCGAGGAAUAAGGGGCUGCUAAACUCGUGCCAGCAGCAGCGGUAAUACGAGUGCCCCAAGCGUUAUCCGGAUUUAUUGGGUGUAAAGAGCUCAAAGGUGGCUUUAAAAGUCUUUGGUUAAAUCUUGAUGCUUAACAUCAAGGCGGCUGAAGAUACUUUAAGGCUUGAGGAUAGAAGAGGCAGACGGAACUGCCGGUGUAGUAGUAAAAUGCGUUAAUAUCGGCAGGAACACCAAAGGCGAAAGCAGUCUGCUAGUAUAUUCCUGACACUACAAGAGCGAAAGCGUGGGGAGCGAAUGGGAUUAGAUACCCCGGUAGUCC
rnacentral:rRNA from 1 species